UGUGCGGAUGUGCAUAUGAUUUCAUCUAAACUGUGGAUGCUUAUUAGCUGUGUGUAUGUGUGCAGAGCUCGGAUCUGACCAAGCCUCUCUGGACGCUGUGUGUGGUCAGCGAUCAGAGCAAAAGCAAGAGCAUUGAGGUGAAGAAGGACACAGAGAGAAUAGACAAGAUCAAGGCCAUAAAACAGGCCUGGGAAAUGGCAGAGCCUGGCCGCUCUGUCAAGGCCUUAAAGUCACGUCAGACAUUUCUCAACCAUGUCCAACAUGGAGUGAGUGGUGACACACCUGUCGGUGACUCAGAGAGCAAAGAGCCUGCUACUUCCCAGCUUUCUCCCGGCUCGUCCAGUCACGAGUUGCCUGUCGCGCUGCCCAGUCUCCCACAGUCACAUGUUCCCAUGGACUACACUCCUUUCAUCAGAUGCCAAAAGGAUUUUCCAGUGAUGAAGGACCCAGAGGUAGAGGAGGCCCAGCAGAGGGCACGCUCGGAAAAGAUCCAGGCCUUCCGGCUGCUCCGGGAAACUGUGCUGGAGCACCGCAAACAGGAGGCAGUCAACAGGAAGGGGCUGAAGAGACGCCAGCGGGAGAUUUAUGAGGACAUGCAGUAUAAGAAAAUCCUUGCUGUUCGUGAGGCAUUCCAUGGCCAUCCUGCCAUGAUGAAGAAACAAGAGAAACAAACACUUGAGGAUGGCCAGCAGGCAGACGAAGAGAAAACAGCUGCCACUGUUGCUGCCACCCAGCAGCCCGCCAAACCACCCAAGAGUGCUGGCAAGAAGAAGUGAUGGCCACUGGCUCACCUUCACUUCUCCGAAGCCACCGCCUCUCAGCAUGAUGGGGAUCUCAGCUUGUCUCAACACUGUAAAGAUCUCAAUUCAGUCACAACGUUGCAACAUAUGCUUGAUGAGAUAAUAUUUAAUAAAUAUUUUUGGUGUCCAGAGGUGUGUGUGUGUGCGCGUGCGUGUGCGUACAUCUGUUGUUUCUG
rnacentral:lncRNA from 1 species